rnacentral:tRNA from 11 species
AGUGGCCUUGUGGUUAAGACGUCCGCCUGGUAACCCAGGGGCAGUGUGUUCAAGACCG